AAUGGUUGAAGGUUCUUGGGCUAAAAAAUUCGGAUUUGUUUCUAAAUUUUUUUUCACUAUUUCCUUAGUUGAUGACUUUACGUGAAUUCAGAAAUAAUUAGAUGGGACAUAUAUAGAUCUAAACCAAAAAUAGUCAUAUCUACAUAGACGUAUUCCACGAAUGAGUUGUUAAUGGUUGAUGAAGAGUCAACCUCAUGACGAGUCCUCGUCUUCCCCGUACGCACGAUUGCGAAGUUAUGGUCCUAUCCUAUUUUAUAUCUAUAAUUCUUCACGUACAUAUUUCCACCGACUUCUUCAAAUACUCUCUCUACCACACUUUGAUCUUUCUUGUAUCAUCCAAAGAUCUCACUUACAUCACUUCUUCCUCCUUCCAUUUAAUCGCCCACCGUUUUUCUUCACUAUGAUCUGUAUUCUACUCGAAACACAUCGUCCACGACA